rnacentral:miRNA from 1 species
GCAGACACAUUCCAGCCAAUCAGCAGCAGACCCUCCCUCCCAGACCCUCCCACCUCCUGGACAGCAUCCAUUUUACAUUCAGCUGUGAAGCUGCAUUCUUAGUGAGCUGUCCAGGAGGUGGGAGGGUCUGGGAGGGAGGGUCUGCUGCUGAUUGGCUGGAAUGUGUCUG